GGUAGCCAGAUCCAUGUAGUGCUCAAGGAUGAUAUCUACCAAGUGGAGUGCCACAUUUCAGUUUAAACCAUAAUCACAGACUGGUGGGCCUAAGUUGUUGUCAAGACCUGAGUGUGGGAUCCUGAUGAACUCUCAAUCCCUCACGGGAUAGGCUUCUACAAUGCACCCAACAGUCAUGUGACUUCCAUGAUGAAUUGUGUAGUUCGGUCAGAGUGAAAUCAGAACAUUGCUACAUCCGUGCUUCCGUCCUAAAAAGAAGUUCUGGAAUGUAUGUGCACUACUUCUGAAAUUCCAUUUGUUUUUCUUUCACGAAAGGUGAAAAUGUGAAGAGCUGCAGAUGUACAGGUAUUGAAUAGGAAUGCCGUUCAUUAAAAUUCAGGUAACAAAAACUGAUCUACCUACAAUUUCUUUCAUUACUGUGAAAGAUAGAUAUAAAUUAUGUCCUAGAAUUAGUUCUAUCAAAAAUUCCCUUCACUUGACUAUUUGACUAUACACUAUAAUCUCUCCGAGGAAUAAAGACACAUUCAAUGUCAUUCUAAAAUAUCCUUUGCCUAGAGACAUCUGUUCCAGUUACAGCAUAACAAAGCCCAGUAAAUUUGAUUUUUUUUCUCCCUAUCAAGCUGAUCAAAAUAAAGUUUGUAAGUGACUGCAAGUGACACAAUACAUUUCAAUAAUGAAUGUCCACAGGCACCAAAAGAUAUUAAAUUAGGAUGAGGAAAAGCAAGAAAAUAGAAACACUUUGCUGAAGUAAUUUAUCUCCUACUGCUACUUUCAUUCUUUAUAUAGCGAAUACCGUUGUGAUUUGCUGCCUAUAUAUGAAACUGAUACCAUCUAUGACUCAAAGGCUCUAAUGAAUGACUCACCAGUACUGAGAAUAGCUAUCAAAGGGUCACUCUGGGACUGGAAGGUUCCUUUCAGGAAACAGCAGGAAUAGAAAUUUAUAUCAGUUCCUGCCUUUUGCUAUAAUACUUUCAACUGCUAAAUGGAAUGUUUAAGUGUUAGUUUUACGUUGAAAUAAAUCAUUAAAAUAAAGAUAAUCACCAAUGAGUAAGAAACAUGUUAUUAAUUUCUGAAUGGUAGCUUUAGGAAAAAAGUGUAUGAUUUUAGAUUUUACCUCUGAAAGUCCUUGCCUUUCAAUCAUGCUUUGACAGUACUGUUGGAUAUUAAUACAAACAAAUUACCAUCUGUAUUAAACCUGUAAGGAGAUAUAUAAUGGAUUGUAUCACUUGCAUUACAUUGCUCAACAAUAUAUUGGCUUUAAUAGCAAAAAAAACCAAAACAAAAAAUAAAAAUAACCCACCUUCCUACUAUUGCACAGUUAUUUAUAACAAUUGUGCAGGUCAAAAUGUCUGCUUAUAGUUAUUUUAAUUUUAAAAACUACAUGUGGACAAAUGGUUGUCAGAGGUUCUAGACUUGGAAGUCAAUGUGAAAAACAAGUAGAGCUGUUUUGUUAGUAAGAUGGUGAUAUUGAAGGAAGGGACGACAAAUGUAUUUUCUCCAAAUGUGUCCAGGAGCAGAGGAAACAUGCUAAGUAUGUGCCAGGGUUCGGUGUAAGUGUGAUGGCUGGAGUACUGGGGGAGAAUCAGCAGUGGAGAAUUAACCCUGGAAUUCUUGGAGAAGAGAAAGGAGGAGGGUCAAAGAAAGAAUGGAAAGAAAUUAAGGAUGUAGAUUGGGUGGAUACCUCAGAAGGGGGCAGAUGAGCAGGCUGGGGACAGGAUGAGCAUAUGUAAUGCAAAAGGAACUGACUUGAUGAUCAAAAAGAGAGAACAUGGCAAGUGAGAGAUCUGAGAAGAGGCAGCUCUUAGUAAAGAAAAGGCCUAAGGCACAAUCCAAGUGGUGGGUGGGAGAGUGGUCCAAAGCUGAAGGCCAGAGGCAGAGAUUAGAGGGAGGAAAUGGGAGUCGGAGGGUGUGAUCAUCACCUUUGUGAAAGUUGAUCUCAACAGGGAGGAGAAUGGGAAAUGUUCUGCAAGGAGAUAAUCUCUGACGUAGUAGAUCUUUUCUAGCUCUAACAUAUGUGAUCUGAUACAGCCUUAUUACUAUUACAGCACAUAAAUGGAUGAAUACUGUAAUAUAGUAUAGCAAAGCUCCAUCGUCAUUAAACAAUAAAAGUUUUCUCUCACUCAUCAUCUCUCACUGUUGCCCUACUAGGUUGAAAUCGCUGAUCCUUCUAAGUAAACAGGACAGUGUGUGUAGAAGUCUGAAAACAUAAAGAAAGUGCAAUGGAAUUUUAGUAUAAAAGGUGGACAUUCUACCAAAGGCACGGGUUCCUGACUCAAGAAAUGUUUAUCUUCUGCUUUAGGACAAUAAAGAAUAAUGAAGGUGGGGCCUGACAUGUUGGAAAUAAUUUCAUGCUUCUGUCAGUGUAGUCUGUAUUAUUAUUGCUCCAAAUAUAAAUCAACUUGCUGAAAUACUGUAAAGUGCCCCGAUGUUUUGAGAAUGAAGCAACAAGUCCCCUUUUGCAGGAAUCAUUUUUAAAUCUACACUUAUGGAAAUAAUGUUUGUCUGCUGCACAUAGGUGUCAAGAGUUUACUGUAGCUAGUAAUUCUCUUGGGGCUGACAUCACCUACUGUUUUGGCCAGUGAGUCCCUGAGAUGGGAGAUGGGGAAUUUAUAGACGGUGAGUAUGAAGUCUGAACACACAAAACCCAGUGCUUUUCCUAGCCCACCAUUUAAAAAUGAAAUUGGCAACAUUCCCUGUUGAUUUUUUUCUUACUUCAGCUUUCAGCAUACAUAAGGAAUUCAGAAAUGUGCUGCAAAAGGUCAGAACUAAGAAAGGAAAGCUUUAUGAGUGAGGCAGAAGAUUGGGAGUUCGGAGAUCUGGGCCUCAAUUCAGCAAAACACUUAAUCAUGUGCUUAUGUACCAUUGACUUAAAUGGAACUAAAGUAGAUGCUUAAAUGUUUUGGGGCCUUGGUUCCUCAGUUUUAACACAGACUCUCUCUCUGAUUUUGGCCAACAGAUGUAACCUUGUGUCAUAAAUAUAAAGGGAAGGGUAAACACUUUUAAAUCCCUUCUGGCCAGAGGAAAAACCCUUUC